rnacentral:misc_RNA from 1 species
AUCAAUUUGGAGACAACUCCACAGGUUGGUUUUGCCUUUUUUUCCCCCCUUAUUUUCUUAAUCUGUUUUGUUUGUUUUAGCUGGAUCUUCACUUUCCUAUUUGGGUUUUUUGGGAGAUCUUCUCUUUGAGAAUUUUUAGUUUGGUUGCCCUGCAACAGGGUUAAAUAUUUGAGAAUUCCAUCAAAUCUUUUAUUUAAGUGGUGUUUAAUUUUGCGGUCAACGUCAAAUGGUGGAUUAAGUUUCAUUGUUUGCCAAAUGGAACGUAGUUGUUAGUUGACAGUUCUUCAGUUUGAAAUGGAAUUCUCUUGUGGUUUAUCUAUCUGGGUGAGCUUUUGAGCGCCAAUUUUCUUUGAUUUCAUAUCGAUUUAACUACACGAGAUGUUAGUUCUUAUAAACUCUUAUGCUUGCUUCAUGCACAACAGGUAUGAUCAAUUUUGGUUUUAUGAAUGACAUUUGCUGCUCUAAUAGUAAUAUGGAUGACAUUUGCUUCUCUAAGUGCACGGGGAAUGUUAGUAUAUGUGAAUUCCACCUGUUGUCCAUACGCACAGUUGUUUUCUUG